AAGUCGAGCGGGCGAGGUUGCUUCGGUAACUGAGCUAGCGGCGGACGGGUGAGUAAAGCUUAGGAAUCUGCCUAUUAGUGGGGGACAACAUUCCGAAAGGGAUGCUAAUACCGCAUACGUCCUACGGGAGAAAGCAGGGGAUCACUUGUGACCUUGCGCUAAUAGAUGAGCCUAAGUCGGAUUAGCUAGUUGGUGGGGUAAAGGCCUACCAAGGCGACGAUCUGUAGCGGGUCUGAGAGGAUGAUCCGCCACACUGGGACUGAGACACGGCCCAGACUCCUACGGGAGGCAGCAGUGGGGAAUAUUGGACAAUGGGGGGAACCCUGAUCCAGCCAUGCCGCGUGUGUGAAGAAGGCCUUUUGGUUGUAAAGCACUUUAAGCGAGGAGGAGGCUUACCUGGUUAAUACCUGGGAUAAGUGGACGUUACUCGCAGAAUAAGCACCGGCUAACUCUGUGCCAGCAGCCGCGGUAAUACAGAGGGUGCGAGCGUUAAUCGGAUUUACUGGGCGUAAAGCGCGCGUAGGUGGUUAAUUAAGUCAAAUGUGAAAUCCCCGAGCUUAACUUGGGAAUUGCAUUCGAUACUGGUUAGCUAGAGUAUGGGAGAGGAUGGUAGAAUUCCAGGUGUAGCGGUGAAAUGCGUAGAGAUCUGGAGGAAUACCGAUGGCGAAGGCAGCCAUCUGGCCUAAUACUGACACUGAGGUGCGAAAGCAUGGGGAGCAAACAGGAUUAGAUACCCUGGUAGUCCAUGCCGUAAACGAUGUCUACUAGCCGUUGGGGGAUUUGAUCCUUUAGUGGCGCAGCUAACGCGAUAAGUAGACCGCCUGGGGAGUACGGUCGCAAGACUAAAACUCAAAUGAAUUGACGGGGGCCCGCACAAGCGGUGGAGCAUGUGGUUUAAUUCGAUGCAACGCGAAGAACCUUACCUGGCCUUGACAUAGUAGAGACUUUCCAGAGAU
rnacentral:rRNA from 1 species